UCUCUAUGAAGAUAUAUACAGUUUGACCUGCCCACUGAAUUAUUAAAGGGCCGCGGUAUUCCUGACCGUGCGAAGGUAGCAUAAUCAUUAGUCUUUUAAUUGAAGGCUUGUAUGAAAGGUUUGACGAAAAAUGGACUGUUUCAAAUAAAAAGAUUGAAUUUAACUUUUAAGUGAAAAGGCUUAAAUAAAUUAAAAAGACGAUAAGACCCUAUAAAUCUUUACAUUUGUUAUUAUAGGUUUUGGAUUGUGUGUGUAAAAAAAAAUAUAAUAAAAAUGUUGUGUUGGGGCAACAGUGAUAUAGUAAUAUUAAUUGUUAAAAAUAAAAACAAAUAUAUUUGUUAAAUAAAGAUCCUUUUUAAAGAUUUAAAGAUUAAGUUACUUUAGGGAUAACAGCGUUAUUUUUUCUGAGAGUUCUUAUCGAAGAAAAAGAUUGCGACCUCGAUGUUGAAUUAAAAAUUCUUUUUAAUGCAGCAGUUAAAAAAGAAAGUCUGUUCGACUUUUAAAUUUUUACA
rnacentral:rRNA from 1 species